rnacentral:siRNA from 1 species
CUACAGGCCGAGUGUGGGCUU